AUGCGAGGAGCGUUGAUCAGCUCAUCCGACGGCCACGAAUCCUUGAAGGCUGAAUUGGUUCAUCAUCGGAAGCAGAAGCAGGGAACGAGCGAUCCCCUCCCGGACACGACGCCCCUAUCGCUCGCUGCUUCCGGUGCCGCGUGUCAGCGUGCGCAAAGCUCGCCCUCAUCGCCGCCGCCACCGCCGCCGCCGCUCAACCCCAUCCCGCCGGCCCCGCCCCGUUCCAUGGCCGCCAAGUGGGCCCAGAAGACCGUCGUCAUCCCUGCCCAGCGCCGCGGCUGCCACCUCAUCACCCCCAAGAUUUUGAGGGAGAUUGAGGGCGAUCUCUCCGGGUUCAAGUGCGGCUUGGCGCAUCUGUUCCUGCAGCACACAAGUGCUUCCCUGACCAUCAAUGAGAACUAUGACUCUGAUGUACAGGCUGACACCGAAACAUUCCUUAACAAAAUUGUCCCAGAGGGCCGCUCUGCUCCUUGGAAGCAUACUAUGGAAGGACCGGAUGACAUGCCAGCACAUAUUAAAUCAUCAAUGUUUGGUUGUGCUCUGACAAUUCCUAUAACUGAUGGACAUCUCAACCUGGGCACUUGGCAGGGUAUAUGGCUGUGCGAACAUCGCGAUCAUGCUAGUGCUCGUAAAAUCGUGGUCACCCUCAACGGAAUCUAA
rnacentral:rRNA from 1 species